AGAUGGGGAAGGGUCUUACUUGGUGACAGGAUCAUCUCCAAACUUCAUGAGCAUCCGGAUGGCUGUUGGUGCCGUGUAGAACUUGGUCACCUUGUAUUUGUCCACAAUGCUCCACAAGCGCCCUUCAUCUGGCUCUCAGCUCAAAUGCUACCUUCUUAGAAGACUCCCCUGAACAGUAGCUGACACCCCCAUCCCUCCUGUUGUUAUUAUUCAUCACACCUGGUUUAUUCCCUACAACACAUAUUUUCAGGGACAUCAAGGGGCCCAGGAACAAAGGAACCAGGCUUAGCUCUAGCAGUAAACUCAGUGGAGCAGACAGACAGAGAACAGAUGAGCAAGCACACAGAAGCAGUGUUCAAGAGCAGUGAAGAAGUGGAUACCUGGGGUCGGAUGCACUUGGAUUUCUCUCUCAGCUUACCCUGUUAAGAGCCCAUGGAAUGGAAAGGCUGAUGAGCAGGGUCCAAGGAUAGAGCUGGGACAAAAAAAAAUUUGAAAAUCACUACCUUUGGACUUGAGGACAAGGCUCAGUGGUACAACCCUCGCCUGGCAUGGGAGAGGCCCUUGGCAAUCCAAGCCAGAAAAUGUGGGUUGUAGGGGGAGUGGGAAAUAAAGAGUCAUUUUUAAAAAGA
ensembl:antisense Acss2os acyl-CoA synthetase short-chain family member 2, opposite strand